AUGUUUUCCCAAAAUAUACUGCAGAAGUGCUGUAAUAUUGACAAAAUGAAAAUGCCUUCCAGAUUGAAAAUGGGGGCCGCUCAUUUCAGGACUGCAGGAACAGACCGCAACAGAUUGGCAUAAACCCCUGCCCCCCAACAGGCUGUGAGCUGCUUAGCCCAGGAGACCUAGCAGCUAUGGCAGGACAGUUAGGCGACAGAUGAGGGGCUGCGGAGAGGCUGUCAGAAGGUUAAAGGCUGCAGAGAGAAGUUGGGAACCUCAUCAGCGGCCAAGCCUGUUAGGCACUGACACAGAGAGGAGGUGAGGACAGUCGCCUGGUGAAGACCAAGAAUCAUCCAGCUGGAACCAGUCGUAAGCUCCCAUUUUCUCCUUCCUCAGUUUCAAGUAGACAUCCCUAGUUCCACGGCUACCUUUAUUUCAUGAGAUGGAGGCUGGUGAGAGUAGACGAGCUCUCUGCUCAUCUGAUUGUUUCUGUGUCUGCCCCUAACUAGUGACCCAUGGAAGCUUGCAAGUCGUUUCUCCUCACAAGUACUAAAGUAACACUAAGGCGGCUUAGGCCCACUCUUGUGGAGAGGCAGCUUUGAAAUACUGACAUGUUUGCCUGUCGGUUCACAUCAGCAGUGUGUACACUACUGUAUAGUAACCCUUAGCUUUGUUAUCUUGUAAACGAGCCUCUCCAAAGAGACUGGUGAUUCAAACAUGAGGUAAAAUUUUCAUUCAGCAAAAAGUGCAAUAUGUGUGGUACUCUUUUAUUUUUUGCUUAUGGUCUUUUGUUAUCCGUAGGUAUUAUUACUCUGUGCUUUGGGGGAAAUGCUUUAGUUUUGCAAUUUCCGAUUGGGCAAGUGUGUCUCUAGUAUUUACAUGCAACUGACAUGCUGGUCCCUGUAAGGCAAAGAGAGGGUGUUAAUACAACAGAAAAGCAACGGAUAUGGGGUCCCACUCUAUUCCCAGGGAGCUGCCUGACCAGCACCAGCCCUCAUCCUGCCCCUGACAUGGCCUGCCUGAACUCUGCCACCUUAGGAAAAAAGAUGGGGGCAGUUCUGUAUGUCCAUAACCCUCUAGAAUCUACCCAGUGGGAGACAAUGAGGGCCCAGGGAAAGCCUUUGGAAGUGAUGGGAGGUAUAAGAGCUGGUCUGAACAAAGCCCUUCCUCUUGCUUUGCAUCCUAGGAAAAAGGAAGCCAAGGUCUCUUUAUCCCAGAAAUCGAGAACUCAGAAAUAUUUAAACUGGGUCCUGGUGUCAGGGAGGGAGGGAGGACUUCAACCUCUGCCUCUCAUGCUCCCUCCUAACUUUUGUAAUUGAGUUACUGCAUUGUUACAGGACCCCCCAUUCUGUACGCUCCCCUCCUUCCCCCUGUUGGACAAUUCACCCUGUGGAGUAGCACCCUCUGCCCUGCCCCAGAGCUCUGUUAAAUAGGAUAGUCAUCACAGACCCCUCUACCUAUACCCUAGGAGCACCACACCUAAGACAGGGCUACUAGGACUGGGGAAAGGGUAUGCUCUCGGCUGGAGAGAGACCAUGUGGUGAACCAGAAACUGAAGGAGCUAAAAGCAGCAGCUUCUAGGCCAGCUGAUCAAGGACCCCAGGUGUGCCAGCAGCUCAGGACAUGGGACCCAUUGGGCUCUCCUUCCUCUACAGGUUCUCCAGCCUCUAAUCAAGCCUGCUUCUUAAAUCUAUCAGGAUCAGAGUUUCUCCAGUCUGGAUUACACUCAUGCCAACAGUGAGUUAAGUUCCCUGUUGGUUUACAGAAAACUCAUAGCCCAGGUGACUUUUUCACAUUCCUCCUCCUCUAGAGACAGUGU
rnacentral:lncRNA from 1 species